rfam:Gossypium hirsutum cultivar TM-1 chromosome 25, whole genome shotgun sequence
UUUUAAAUGUUAUCCAUUUGUAUUAAUAAAAACUAGCGUAGUUGAUAAAAUAACCAGAAAGUGACACAUGAUGUGCCACAUUUAUCUUAUGCUGACAUAUAGAGAUCAAUUUUUAACCCUAGAAAUAGAUGUAAUUUUUAAUA